AUUGAACGCUGGCGGCCGGCCUAACACAUGCAAGUCGAGCGACCGGCGGACGGGUGAGUACUGUAUGGGGACUGCCCGAUAGAGAGGGAUAACUCCUGGAAACGGUAGCUCAUAACGCCUACUAUCGGAACACCCAUAUGGGAUUCGCUAGUAGGUGAGGUAAUGGCUCACCUAGGCGCCGAUCCCUAGCUGGUCUGAGUGGAUGAUCGGCCACACUGAGACUGAGACACGGACCAGACUCCUACGGAGGCAGCAGUGGGUAAGAUGGCACAAUGGGCGCAAGCCUGAUGCAGCCAUGCCGCGUGUAUGAAGAAGGCCCUAGGGUUGUAAAGUACUUUCAGUCGGGAGGCGUUACCGACAGAAGAAGCACCGGCUAACUCCGUGCCAGCCGCCGCGGUAAUAC
rnacentral:rRNA from 1 species